UACGAAGGGGGCUAGCGUUGCUCGGAUUGACUGGGCGUAAAGGGCGCGUAGGCGGUUCGUACAGUCAGACGUGAAAUUCCUGGGCUCAACCUGGGGGCUGCGUUUGAUACGUGCGGACUUGAGUGCGGAAGAGGGUCGUGGAAUUCCCAGUGUAGAGGUGAAAUUCGUAGAUAUUGGGAGGAAUACCGGUGGCGAAGGCGGCUCCCUGGACCGGUACUGACGCUGAGGCGCGAAAGCGUGGGUAGCAAACAGG
rnacentral:rRNA from 1 species